UACGUAGGGUGCGAGCGUUAAUCGGAAUUACUGGGCGUAAAGCGUGCGCAGGCGGUUUUGUAAGCCAGAUGUGAAAUCCCCGGGCUUAACCUGGGAAUGGCAUUUGGGACUGCAAGGCUGGAGUGCGGCAGGGGAGACUGGAAUUCCUGGUGUAGCGGUGAAAUGCGCAGAUAUCAGGAGGAACACCGGUGGCGAAGGCGGGUCUCUGGGCCGGUACCGACGCUGAGGAGCGAAAGCGUGGGGAGCGAACAGG
rnacentral:rRNA from 1 species